rnacentral:rRNA from 1 species
GUUAGGAUGGUCGAGACCUUAUCAGAUUCUACCACCUCUGUGAACCGUUGACCUCCGGGUUAAUAAUCAAACAUCAGUGUAACGAACGUAAGAGUAUCUUAAUUAAACAAAACUUUUAACAACGGAUCUCUUGGCUCUCGCAUCGAUGAAGAACGCAGCGAAAUGCGAUAAGUAAUGUGAAUUGCAGAAUUCAGUGAAUCAUCGAAUCUUUGAACGCACCUUGCGCCUUUUGGUAUUCCGAAAGGCAUGCCUGUUUCAGUGUCAUGAAAUCUCAAUCUAAUAUGUUUUCUGAACAUGUUAGGCUUGGACUUGGGUGUCUGCCAGCAAUGGCUCACCUCAAAUGACUUAGUGGAACAUCCCACAUCAGUGUUAGACGUAAUAAGUUUCGUCUCUCCUUGUGGUGAUGACUGCUCAAAACCUGCCAUCGCGCACCUUUUGACUUUGACCUGAAAUCAGGUAGGGCUACCCGCUGAACUUAAGCAUAUCAAUAAGCGGAGGAAUAAG